ACUCAGGUAAGAACAUUAAAAAAGAAAGGAAGUACAGAGGGUGUGUAACAAUGGAAGAUUGCAUGGAAAGUUCUCCUUUGCUGUUAGUACAUCUUAGGAAAACAUUCAGCUGGAACAUAACCAGUGUAACACUGCUGAUUUCUAACACUAAAACUGAAGUGUAUUUUCCAAGCACCUCUCCUUCCUCUUGGUCUCCUAAGAACACCUGCUUCCCUGAGACAGAGACUUCAGACACAGGCUCAUAGGACUCAGCUUACUUCCCUUUUCUCUGAAGAUGCCAGAAGCUACUUUCUUUCCAGAGACUUUUCUUCCUCCGAGACAGAUUGUGAGAUGGGAUUCUUCUCACCUCCUCUCUCGUGUAUGUCGCUGAAAUGAAGUCCAUAGUGUUUCUUAUUUUAAGCAUUUGCAUUUGCCUUUGUAGAGAGUAGAUGGGGGAAUGACAGAGGACAGAGGUAGCAAAUAGGGAGACACGUGAUCAAUUUUACAGUGUUCUAAUAUUCUCCUUCCUUCACCUGUGUUUUCUGGGUCCUUUCCUGCUCUGUGAUCUGCUUCUUUUAUCUCAGCACAGAGCUCAAGGAGCACCACUUCUCCAGUUCCUCACCAUUCAGGGGCCCUCUGGCUGUAGGAUGGUCAUUUACAUCCCAGGGGCUCCAGCCUAGGUGCUUCACAUUCAAACAUCUGUGUUCCAGGUGGAAAUCUCUACUGCUUUUGAGCAACUUAUUUAAUCCCCAUAAUUAUUCUGCAUGGUACCUCAUCAUUUUGGAAACAGAUUUAGGGAGGUUAAGUGGUUUGGUCACAGUUAUAGAGUUAGUAAAAUCAGGGCUAGGAGGGGACCACAGGUCUAUUUGUCUCCAAAAUGUAUGUUUCUUCCACUCUUCCAAACUGCAUCACCUCAACACUGGGUGAUUUCCUGGCAAUCAUGGAGUAUCACAUGAAAGCAUAUGAAGGCAUUCCUGUUGUUAUGUUGAUCUUAGUGUUUGUAUCUUUUAUCAUUUUUAACUUUUAUUUUAAUAUUUGGAAUAUUGUCUCCAUAUUCUUCAUACAGCUAACUGAAGACAGAAACACUGUUUUAUGUGUCACUGUAUUAGCCAAUGCACCUUUACUAAGGGUUUACUGCAUAGCAUGUGUUUACCAUAUAUUUAUUGGUUAGUUGUUCCAGAAAGGUUUUCAGGAAUAAAUAGCUUCUUUUACCUGUUUUCUUUUUUAUGUAUAGUGUAACUAGGAUCAUAAUUCUAAUUUUUCUUCACUGAGUGACAGUCUUGCAAGUGAAGAGUGAUCUCAGCACAUGACAAACGACAAAACAAAACCAAAACAUGUUUAAAAUUGUGUGUCUAUAACGGGCCACGUAGAAAUGGGGUAGGGGUUUAAAAAAAAAGGUCCUGGACAGAGAAGCAGAAUUUAGAGAUGAUGGCCAAUGUAUAGAGAGUUUACACUUUUUUUCAGGACCAAUGGAGAGACAUAAGAAGGAUUAGGUCUAUCAGAUUUGUCUUAGGACUGUUACGCUGGCUGUACCAGAGAGAGUGGAUUGUAGUGGAGUGAAGCUGGAAGCAGAGUGAUCUGGUCGCCCUUAUUUGGGAUCUAGCUUUACUUCCCCAGCCCCACCCAACUUCCCACAUUACCGUCCUAGCCAGGAUGCGUAAUCCUGUUAAUCAGUGGGAAAUUGAGUUUCCACUAGACAAUGUCUCACCUCAAAUAAUCAGGCAGGAGGAGUUUCCUCUCACUUAGCUUUUUUAUUCUAUUCAGAUCUUCAGUGGAUCAUUAGGAAGGCGCAGUCUGCUUUAGUCUACUCAUUCAGAUGUUACUCUUAUCCAGAAAUACCCUCACAGACACGCCCAGAAAAAUGGGGAAGACAAACUGGCCAAGCCUGGGUCAUGAACUUCUGGGGCUGAAUCUCCUCCGGGGCCAAGGGAGACCCACCCAAGUGAUGCAGGAUGAAGAUAAGUGGUUUUCCAAUGGAAGGUGGGGAAAACAGUCCAAUAAACUUAUCUUCUUUUUGGCCAUACAAGUAAUACACAAUUACAUUUUUAUUUUAUAAAAUUGCACACUCUUCACUACAUUUAAAAAGGAUAUAUUGACAAUAUGUUACCAAUCCUUGAUUGAUAAGUAGGUAGAUAAAUAGAUGAUAGAUAGAUAGUAAAUAUAUAGAUUUUAGCAUCAGUGAUAGGCUCAAUAUAAUUGUAGGUACCAGGGCCACAAAAAUGAGUGAGACCUGGGGUUCUUAGUCUCAUGAAACUCAUGACUAAUGAGGAAAUUUAAACAAGUAAACAACCAUUAUAAAACAGUGUGAUAAUCACUAACAGGUAUGAUGACAGAUAAUGAUUGGUGAAAUAAAAACUCAUAUUCUAAGGCAAGUUAAGGAAUAUUCAAACAUAAAAUUUUUUCUCUGCCCUUUGGCCUCCUCUUUCGCCUCUACUGUGCAUUGUGUAGCUGCAUUAUGCAUCAACCACACCCCCCUUUUGGCAGAAAUACUGGCUCAGCCAUAAAGAGCAACUAUCUCCUAGCACCAACAACUCCUAAAAGAUUAUGUUCCUUUUUGACCUUGUUACCUGAAAACUGGGUUCUCCUCUUGGUGGGUGUUGAGCCAGUAGAUACAACAGAGCUAAAGAUCACGAGAAGGAAGGAUUUAUUACUUGCGGGAAGUAAGGAGAACACUGGGGAUCACUCCCAAAGCAGUGUCUCCCAAACAGCAAAAUUGGGGAAGUUUUAAGCUAAGGGUACAUGUAUAUUCGUGAAGGGGCUUGAGCAGAGGAGAAUUCAGCCUAGAAUUGGGGCACAGGUUGAUUGAAGUCAUCAUUCUAUCCUCCACCUGGUUGGGGGGGGCCUUAGUUCCUGCAGAACUCAAAGAUAUGUUGUGUAUAUACCUUGAGGAGCCAGGACCCUGCCCCAAGGCUGCACUAUUGUUUCUUGACUGCUCCUCCCUAGUUUCUGCAUUCCCUCCCUUAAAAUCAUUAAUUACUUUGACCUGUUUAAGGGCAAGCAUUGUGGCCAGGCUUAGGUCACAAAACGGCUUAGGCCAAAGUGGAUUCUCUUAUGUCAAGAAAGCCAUUUCUGGUUCUCUUUCUCAGGGGACCCCCUAACCUGUCUCCUUACAAUCUUGUAAAGGGUCACAGUGAUCCACCAUUUUGUAUUUUCAGAUUUGGAUUGUGCAAACUAUCUACAUCAUUUAAUGUAUAGCCCCAUCUCAAAAACGUAUAUAA